UAUCUCUCAAGUAAGGGAGUCUUUUCCCUGUAUAUUAGAUAGAGCGGUCAGAAUUUUAAUAUUGUAAUCGUCUCAGAGAAGGUUUCUUCAAAGAAUACAAACGGUUACUUCCCAAGGACCGAAACUCUUUCAAUAGAAUAACAGAUGGAUUCCACGCUUGUGCCCAUUUGUGCCUCGAUCUGCUUCUCUAAAUGCCAUCAAAUCUAGCUGGAGUAACUGGCCCCCAGACUGGAAAGAGUCAGAUCCUUGUGGUUGGGAAGGGAUUAAUUGCACUGAUUCACGCGUAACCUCCAUAAUGUUGGCAGGCACAGGGGG